rnacentral:rRNA from 1 species
GAUGAACGCUAGCGGCAGGCCUAAUACAUGCAAGUCGAACGAGAUUAAGAGGCUUGCUUCUUAUGAAAGUGGCGCACGGGUGCGUAACGCGUAUGCAACCUACCUUAAUCAGGGGGAUAGCCCGAAGAAAUUCGGAUUAAGACCGCAUAAAAACACAGGAUAGCAUUAUCCACUGUUCAAAUAUUUAUAGGAUUAAGAUGGGCAUGCGUGUCAUUAGCUAGUUGGCGGGGUAACGGCCCACCAAGGCGACGAUGACUAGGGGAUCUGAGAGGAUGACCCCCCACACUGGUACUGAGACACGGACCAGACUCCUACGGGAGGGAGCAGUAAGGAAUAUUAGUCAAUGGAGGGAACUCUGAACCAGCCAUGCCGCGUGCAGGAAGACAGCCCUCUGGGACGUAAGCUGCUUUUAUUCGGGAAUAAACCUUUCUACGUGUAGGAAGCUGAAUGUACCGAAGGAAUAAGGAUCGGCUAACUCCGUG